rnacentral:sRNA from 1 species
GCUGGGUGUGGUGGCGCAUGCCUGUAAUCCCAGCUACUUAGGAGGCUGAGGCAGAAGAAUUGCUUGAACCAGGGAGUUGGAGGUUGCAGUGAGCUGAGAUCGCGCCACUGCACUCCAGCCUGGAGACAGAGUGAGACUCUGUCUCAA